CCCUUCUCCAGGGGGAUUUCAAUGCAAUGAAGCACUCAUUUUAUAAAAGGGUUUCUGCUAGUCAGGAGGAGCUGAUCUCAUCAUUGAAAGGAUUUAGUGCUUUUCUAGCUAUGAGGAGAUGCAAGGAUUGGGAUCAUGAAAUCAGUUCCUAAAAAUAUCUGUCUAAAGACCUGUUAUACCAGUAGAGUGCUUCACUUUGCACCCUGAAUUCCCUUCAGGGAACGUUGAAGGUCAGCAACUGCAGCAGCACUGGCAGAUGGCAAAUGGCCUUGCUGUUCAGUCACUGGCAAAUGCUCUUGACAAGUGCCAAUUUGUAGUUGACAAAUCCAAGAAUGGUUUCAAAUAGAUGGUGCUCUGUACAAAUCAAAGGGAAAAUAUUUAUUUUAGAAUUAUUUUGCUGCCUCAUCCCAUUCACUUCAAGAAAAUGAUUACCCUCUUAUGUUUGUAUUUCAUCCAUGUUUAUAAAUUUUACAACUCUGGGCGUAAUUACAGGUUUUUCGUUUCAGCAGUUUCUCAUGUUACAAUACUCCGCUCACUCUUCCUUCAUUUUUCUUUCCUGGGUGUGGUUAGCCUCCAGGCUCUGGUUUGAACAGGCCAGGGUUUGAAUCCUGCCUCUAGUUCGCUCACUAACUACCACUUCUGGCACGUAGGAUAGUAAAAAUACCACCUUCGUGGGAUUGUGAAGGUUAAUGGUAUAUCAGUUUCAGUGCUCCACAAUUGGUAGCUGUCGAUUUUUAGUUUACCAGGAGAAUCCUUGAUCAUGAACAACUCAUUGCCUUAACCUUUUCUCCUGCUUCAGCAUAUGAGAUGUGCCUCUGCAAACCAGUACUCCAGGUGCAGUAGGCGUUUGGAUCUUGACCCUGUAUCUAAGGCUUUUCUUCCUCUUUCACCCGUUUCCUCCUCUUCAUGUGCUCCAGGCAAAACAGGGAGGCUGGGUUGAAGCCACAACGGGCUGGUCGGAGGGAGUACAUAACAGGUUCUAGGCCCGCAGGGUCAUCGUGGCCUGUGAUCUGAAAGAAGGGGUGUGGAGAUGGGUGGAGCAGAGCGGAGGAGGGUGCACACGGGAAUGAGAAAGAAGAAACAACUAAUUUAGGUCCUAAGUCCACUUAGGCAAUGAGCGUCAAAGAGAGAUAUCUCUUCCAUCCUUCUUCAAUCUCUCCUCGGGAAUGAGGACAAACGCCUUUGGAAGCCCCCACACGACUCCUCUGAGCCCAACCCCGCAGGGGGCCCUUAGGGAACUCGAGAUCGAGAUUAGACCUCCGAGCUGCCUAGAUGGCCCCGGAAGUGCGCCUCGAGGAACCCGCGUUUCCGGUCUCCCCGGAGGCCGUGGUGGCGGACGCUGCUGUUCUCGGCCAGCUGAGGGCUGGCUGCCUCCCCCCUGUGUCGGGUUCUGAAGACUUUUUAGAGAAGACCUUGGCCUUGGAGCGGCACUCCAGCCCAUGGAGAAGACGCCCGAGCAGAUGUCCCUGGAUUCCCCGUGUCCAUCCCCCGAGCAGGAGCCUCGAAAGACCACGGAUGGUGAGACCUGGACUGAGGAUCAAUUAAUUAUAAAGCAGAAAACUCUUGAAGUAGGGACACGACCACAUGAAGGAGAUGAAUGUGAACAAAACAAACAUGAGGGACCCUAUGAAUAUGGACGAAACUUCAGUAAUAUGUCAGACUUCAUCCAGCAGUCAUAUGUUCUUAUUGAAGAGAAAUCUCAAAUGUGCAACGUUUGUGGGAAAUUAUUCAGGCGGAAUGCAUACCUUACUCAGCAUAAGAAAAUCCACAUGCAAGAGAAGGCUUACAAGUGUCAUGAAUGUGGAAAAGCCUUUGGCCAUAGUUCAAAUCUGUCUCAGCAUCAAAGAAUUCAUACCGAGGAGAAACCCUAUGAAUGUGAUGAGUGUGGGAGGGCCUUCCGGCGCAGCUCACACCUCAUCCAGCAUCAGGUCACCCACACGGGAGAGAUGUCUUACGUGUGUAACGAGUGCGGAAAAGCCUUCGGCCGGAGCUCAAGUCUCCUCCGACAUCAAAGAAUCCACUCUAGGGAGAAACCCUAUGAAUGUCCCGAAUGUGGGAAGGCCUUCAGCCAGAGCUCACAUCUAACAGAACACCAGCGAGUUCACACCAAAGAGAGACCCUACGAGUGCAGUGACUGUGGGAAAGCUUACAGUCGGAACUCACACCUUGUUGAACAUCAGAGGGUCCAUACAGGAGAGACUCCUUAUGGCUGUAAUGAGUGUGGGAAAUCUUUCAGUAGGAGUUCACUCUUUUUCAAACAUCACAGGAUUCACACUGGAGAAAGACCCUAUGAGUGCAGUGAAUGUGGGAAGGCCUUUAGUUGCAACUCCUACCUCAUUCAGCACCAGAAGACUCACGGUGGAGUAAAAUCUUCUAAACAUAAAGAAUGUGGGAAAACCUUCAAGCACAAUUCAUACCUUAUUCAUCACCUGGGAACCCAUACAAGAGAGAAACCAUAAAUGAAGUGAAUGCGGUAAAGCCUUUUGUCGGAGUUCAGCUCCGACAUCAGAGAACUUGCACUGGGGAGAAAACCUUUGUCUGUAGUGAAGGUGGACCGUCUUCAGUCAUAGUUCACCUCUUACUAAGACCUGAGAAGCCACAGAGUAGACAAAUCUCUCAUGCAUUCAGUGCAUGAGAACCUUUGGACAGAGUUCCCGCCUUACUCAUCAUUGGCCAGUUCACAUUGGGGGAAUGAUGAGGAAACUGAUGCCCAGGAAGAAGAAGUAACUUCCCCAAGGGCACCCUGCUGGUGAUGGCAGAGCUGGCAUUCGAAUCCGGUGAACUUCAGGUAGUUACCCAGAGCCUGCAAGUUCCUGUCUUUUUUUCAU